rnacentral:tRNA from 1 species
GGUGGCUCAGUGGUAGAGCGCUUGCCUUGCGGCAUGAGGCCCUGGGUUCGAUUCCUCAGCACCA